GGUUCUCCCACCAUUCACUCUUAGUCUCCUUUACAGUUGCCACUCUUAUUCUCCAAGCUCCCUCCAGGAGAACUCUCAAGGGACUAAUAUCACCUGAUUCCAUGUCUUUGGCUGGGACCUCUUCCCUGAGCUCCCAUCACAUUGGAUCUCUCGAGACACAUUGGAUCUCAAAGACACUGUGUCAAAUUGCACCCAUCACCUUCACCCAAACCUGCUUCUCCAUCAGCUGCCUAUAAGAAGUAACUAAAACUUAUCAACAGGAAAAUAUAAUAGUGACAAA
rnacentral:lncRNA from 1 species